GGCUCAGAAUGAACGCUGGCGGCGUGCUUAACACAUGCAAGUCGAACGAGAAAUCUUUAGCUCGCUAGAGAAAGUAAAGUGGCGCACGGGUGAGUAACGCGUGGGUAAUCUGCCUCCGAAUCGGGGAUAACAUUGCGAAAGCGAUGCUAAUACCGGAUAAAAUCUGGUUGGCUUAGGUGAACCGGAUCAAAGGUGGUCUCUUUAUAAAAGCUACCGUUUGGAGAUGAGCUCGCGUACCAUUAGCUAGUUGGUGAGGUAAAGGCUCACCAAGGCGACGAUGGUUAGCUGGUCUGAGAGGAUGAUCAGCCACACCGGAACUGGAACACGGUCCGGACUCCUACGGGAGGCAGCAGUGAGGAAUUUUGCGCAAUGGGGGAAACCCUGACGCAGCAACGCCGCGUGAGUGAUGAAGGCUUUCGGGUCGUAAAGCUCUGUCAGGUGGGAAGAACCCACCAAGUGUUAAGACCACUUGGUGCUGACGGUACCACCGAAGGAAGCACCGGCUAACUCCGUGCCAGCAGCCGCGGUAAUACGGGGGGUGCGAGCGUUAUUCGGAAUCAUUGGGCGUAAAGGGCGCGCAGGCGGUUUUGUAAGUCAGAUGUGAAAUCCCGGGGCUUAACCCCGGAAGUGCAUAUGAAACUAUGAGACUUGAGUAUGGGAGAGGGAAGCGGAAUUCCUGGUGUAGCGGUGAAAUGCGUAGAUAUCAGGAGGAACACCGGUGGCGAAGGCGGCUUCCUGGACCAAUACUGACGCUGAGGCGCGAAGGCGUGGGGAGCGAACAGGAUUAGAUACCCUGGUAGUCCACGCAGUAAACGUUGAUCACUAGGUGUAGCGGGUAUUGACCCCUGCUGUGCCGGAGUUAACGCAUUAAGUGGUCCGUCUGGGGAGUACGAUCGCAAGAUUAAGACUCCAAGGACUUGACGGGGGCCCGCACAAGCGGUG
rnacentral:rRNA from 1 species